AGUGAACGCUGGCGGCAGGCCUAAUACAUGCAAGUCGAACGGCAGCACAGCAGAGCUUGCUCUGUGGGUGGCGAGUGGCGGACGGGUGAGGAAUACAUGGGAAUCUGCCCAGUCGUGGGGGAUAACGUAUGGAAACGUACGCUAAUACCGCAUGCGCCCUAAGGGGGAAAGCCGGGGACCGCAAGGCCUGGCGCGAUUGGAUGAGCCCAUGUUCGAUUAGCUAGUUGGCGGGGUAAAGGCCCACCAAGGCGACGAUCGAUAGCUGGUCUGAGAGGAUGAUCAGCCACACUGGAACUGAGACACGGUCCAGACUCCUACGGGAGGCAGCAGUAGGGAAUAUUGGACAAUGGGGGCAACCCUGAUCCAGCCAUGCCGCGUGAGUGAAGAAGGCCCUCGGGUUGUAAAGCUCUUUUGUCCGGAAAGAAAAGCAAUCGGUUAAUACCCGGUUGUCCUGACGGUACCGGAAGAAUAAGCACCGGCUAACUUCGUGCCAGCAGCCGG
rnacentral:rRNA from 1 species